rnacentral:SRP_RNA from 1 species
UAUCGGUCCCUUCGCGACGAUUAUUUGUAAAUCCCGCCAGACCCGGAAGGGAGCAACGGUAGCAGAGACGUUGGGUGCGAAGGUGUGCUGAUCCAG